AUGGGGUGCAGCAGGCGCGAAACCUCCGCAAUGCGGGAAACCGUGACGGGGUCACCCCGAGUGCCCCCUUAUGGGGGCUUUUCCCCGCUGUAAACAGGCGGGGGUAAUAAGCGGGGGGCAAGUCUGGUGUCAGCCGCCGUGGUAAUACCAGCCCCGCGAGUGGCCGGGACGUCUACUGGGCCUAAAGCGCCCGUAGCCGGCCCAGUAGGUCCCUCCCUAAAGCCCCGGGCUCAACCCGGGGAAUGGGAGGGAUACCGCUGGGCUAGGGGGCGGGAGAGGCCGAGGGUACUCCCGGGGUAGGGGCGAAAUCCGAUAAUCCCGGGAGGACCGCCCGUGGCGAAGGCGCUCGGCUGGAACGCGCCCGACGGUGAGGGGCGAAAGCCGGGGGAGCAAACCGGAUUAGAUACCCGGGUAGUCCCGGCUGUAAACGAUGCGGGCUAGGUGUUGGGCGGGCUUUGAGCCCGCCCAGUGCCGCAGGGAAGCCGUUAAGCCCGCCGCCUGGGGAGUACGGCCGCAAGGCUGAAACUUAAAGGAAUUGGCGGGGGAGCAC
rnacentral:rRNA from 1 species